rnacentral:rRNA from 1 species
CCUACGGGAGGCAGCAGUGAGGAAUAUUGGUCAAUGGACGAGAGUCUGAACCAGCCAAGCAGCGUGAAGGAUGACUGCCCUAUGGGUUGUAAACUUCUUUUAUAUGGGAAUAAAAUGUUCCACGUGUGGGAUUUUGUAUGUACCAUAUGAAUAAGGAUCGGCUAACUCCGUGCCAGCAGCCGCGGUAAUACGGAGGAUCCGAGCGUUAUCCGGAUUUAUUGGGUUUAAAGGGAGCGUAGGUGGAUUGUUAAGUCAGUUGUGAAAGUUUGGGGCUCAACCGUAAAAUUGCAGUUGAUACUGGCAGUCUUGAGUACAGUAGAGGUAGGCGGAAUUCGUGGUGUAGCGGUGAAAUGCUUAGAUAUCACGCAGAACUCCGAUUGCGAAGGCAGUUCACUGGACUGCAACUGACACUGAGGCUCGAAAGUGUGGGUAUCAAACAGGAUUAGAUACCCGGGUAGUC